rnacentral:rRNA from 1 species
AUGAAUAGUGAUUGGAAAGGAGUGGAGGACAAGAUGGAAAGGAAACUAGGAGCCUGGCAAGGAAGAAUGAUGUCUUGUGGUCCUAAAUUAAUUUUGCUGAAAUCCUGUUUGAGUAGUAUACCUUACUUUAUGAUGUCUAUGUUUCCUAUUCCUAAAGAUACUCUGCGUAGAGUAGAAUAUUUUAUGAAAAGACUUCUAUGGCAGGAUAGUGAUGAAUCUGACAAGUACAAUUUAGUGAAGUCGGAAAAGGUUUGCCAACCUAUUCAUCGGGGUAGGGGGUCUGGGCUAGCUGUAAUGUAUAGGUGUCUUUUGAGUAAAUGGUUAUGGAAAAUAGAAAAUGAUGAAGCUUUGUGGCAAGAUAUGAUUAGAAGUAAAUAUUGUAAUGAAGAGUCCUAG